AACCCAUGUUGAGGACAUUUUUGCAAGAGUUCCUUAAACCUUUCCCAUUUCUCAAAAAAGACUCCAAUUCCAUUUGCACAAAGGACGAGAUGUCAUUAUCCAGGUA